rnacentral:rRNA from 1 species
AACGCUAGCUACAGGCUUAACACAUGCAAGUCGAGGGGAAACGAUAGAGAAAGCUUGCUUUUUCUAGGCGUCGACCGGCGCACGGGUGAGUAACGCGUAUCCAACCUGCCCAUCACUUGGGGAUAACCUUGCGAAAGUAAGACUAAUACCCAAUGAUAUCCGUCGAAGACAUCUGAAGUGGAUUAAAGAUUCAUCGGUGAUGGAUGGGGAUGCGUCUGAUUAGCUUGUUGGCGGGGUAACGGCCCACCAAGGCGACGAUCAGUAGGGGUUCUGAGAGGAAGGUCCCCCACAUUGGAACUGAGACACGGUCCAAACUCCUACGGGAGGCAGCAGUGAGGAAUAUUGGUCAAUGGACGAGAGUCUGAACCAGCCAAGUAGCGUGCAGGAUGACGGCCCUAUGGGUUGUAAACUGCUUUUAUAAGGGAAUAAAGUUAGAGUCGUGACUCUUUUUGCAUGUACCUUAUGAAUAAGGACCGGCUAAUUCCGUGCCAGCAGCCGCGGUAAUACGGAAGGUCCGGGCGUUAUCCGGAUUUAUUGGGUUUAAAGGGAGCGUAGGCCGGAGAUUAAGCGUGUUGUGAAAUGUAGAUGCUCAACAUCUGCACUGCAGCGCGAACUGGUUUCCUUGAGUACGCACAAAGUGGGCGGAAUUCGUGGUGUAGCGGUGAAAUGCUUAGAUAUCACGAAGAACUCCGAUUG